UUGAAGACUUUAUCGAAGUACUCGGGCGGAUAAGUGCUCUUCGAGAUAUCAACACGGAUGACGAAGUUGUAAAUACUUUGACACUGAUUGAGCACCGUAUUCAUGUGGAAGAUGUCCAAGAAGUUGGUUCAAGCACAGGUGCAGGACGCCCGCCUCUGGAUAUUCCAGGCGAUAUGCUCGCUACCUAUGUGUUGUCCGGUCUAUCAACCCGAGAAAUUGCGGAUCUGUUUGGUGUGUCAUCCCGCACAAUUCAGAGGAGAUCGGUCGAAGAAGGCCUAAGAAAAUCAGACCUAUACUCUUCAAUUAACGAUGACGAUGUAGAUGCCUUAGUGAUGGAGAUUCAGCGCACUAAUCCAAAUGCUGGAUAUAAAAUGAUGCUGGGACAUCUACGGUCCAGAGGCAUACACAUUCAAAGGCAUCGAGUAAGGGCGUCAAUGCAGAGAGUUGAUCCAGGAGCAAUCUUGAUGCGAAGGUUAACCCUCCAGACUACAAGGCGUCGUCAGUACAAUGUUCCUGCACCAAAUAGUCUAUGGCAUAUAGACGGUAAUCACAAGCUGAUCAGGUCAGUUUUUCCUGCUGCUUUUUGAACUGUGUCCAUCAUAAUCUAGUAGGUGCUGCUCUUGAACUCCUGUCCUCAAGUGCUGGAGUCCUGCAGUUCUUUGUUCCAAGCCUGUACCACACCACCUGAAAUCACUAAAUAGUAACAUCAUGUGAGAAAACACAGGUUAAGGUGUGAUUGCUGAAAUAAGUAGGCCUAUCUACAGACAUUGCACCCCUGGAAGUAUUGAGUGUGAGACCAAUUUGAAGGCUGAGGAAAAAGUAACAUUAAAAGAUAUAUGGCCAGGUCAUUAAUACUUAAUGAUGCCUUUAUCCUUUUUUAAUACAAAAUAUUAGUUGGUUAGUUAGUUAGUUAGUUGAGGAUAUUAAUUGAACUCCUUGUCUACUCAUUAGAUAAUAAUUGAGUUUGAAUUUCAAACAAAAACACAAUUAGAUGCUACUAAAGGUACAGUCCUUGCAUGGGGGCAAGCCCUCUACCACAUACAUCCUAGCUAAAUAUGAGCUCUUC